rnacentral:rRNA from 1 species
CACGUAGGGUGCGAGCGUUGUCCGGAAUUACUGGGCGUAAAGAGCUCGUAGGUGGUUUGUCGCGUUGUUCGUGAAAACUCACAACUCAAUUGUGGGCGUGCGGGCGAUACGGGCAGACUGGAGUACUGCAGGGGAGACUGGAAUUCCUGGUGUAGCGGUGGAAUGCGCAGAUAUCAGGAGGAACACCGGUGGCGAAGGCGGCAUCCUGGACCAUAACUGACGCUGAGGCGCGAAAGCUAGGGGAGCAAACGGG